rnacentral:rRNA from 1 species
AGUGAACGCUGGCGGCGUGCCUAAUACAUGCAAGUCGAACGGAAUUUAAAAGAGCUUGCUCUUUUAAAUUUAGUGGCGCACGGGUGAGUAAUAUAUAGCUAAUCUGCCCCUUGCUGGAGGACAACAGUUAGAAAUGACUGCUAAUACUCCAUACUCCUUUUUACCAUAAGAUAAAUCGGGAAAGAAUUUCGGCAAGGGAUGAGACUAUAUCGUAUCAGCUAGUCGGUGGGGUAACGGCCUACCGAGGCUAUGACGCGUAACUGGUCUGAGAGGAUGAUCAGUCACAUUGGAACUGAGACACGGUCCAAACUCCUACGGGAGGCAGCAGUAGGGAAUAUUGCGCAAUGGGGGAAACCCUGACGCAGCAACGCCGCGUGGAGGAUGACGCUUUUCGGAGCGUAAACUCCUUUUGUUAGGGAAGAAUAAUGACGGUACCUAACGAAAAGCAC